GUCACAAGAUGGCUGAUCAGAGC
rnacentral:piRNA from 1 species